AUCUAAUCCAAAGAGGGUAAGCAAGACUUGCCCUGAUCUGCCUUUGCUUCAAAACUGCCACUUUUAUUGAUUGUAACAGCAGAGGAGCUAACGUUUGGUCACGGAGAGUGAACUCUAUUUGCUCUUUUUUUUUUCUUUUUUCUUUUUUUUUCCUGAUGUUCCAAGUUAAGGCCUUGUUGCCAGUGGGUGGAGUGGUGAGAUCUACAUUGCAUCUACUAUGGCUAAGGAGAAGACCAGCAUUUCCAGGACUGUCAACUGAACCUCCUUCACACUACAGACACAACUUUAUAAAUACAAAAAGAAAAAGAAAAAAUUGAACUGUGAUCUUUCUGGAAUGGAGAUGUAUCCAAAAGAACUGUGCUUUGGGUUGUACAGCCUUCCCAAGGAGUCAGAACAAAUAUCCAGACUUCAACACGAGACCAAGCAGAGUUGCUCAGUCCCUGUGGAGAUGAGAUAUAGAACUGGAGAAUAUAAACAGAUGUGGAGACAUUUUGAUGCAUUUCUGAAAAAACAAAUGACAUUUUGCUGCUAUAUUUUAGAGUUCAGUCCAGCCCCCUUAUCAAGAAUAUGAUGCAAAAAACAAUAGUCACUUCAUUUUCAUUUCUCAGUCUGUCUGGAGAGCAAAAGGCACAGUCAUCUAGUAGAUGAGGUAACAUCAGAGCCUAACAACUGUUGAGAAAGUCUUGUAGAGUUUAAAAUGCUGAAGAAAAAGGGAAGAAUCAUUAAGAAACUAUAAAUCUGAAGGAAAUCAAUAUGAUAGUCUAAGAUCUUGAAAUAGCAUAGCAUGUAUUUUUAUUUAUUAUUGCAGGCAGGUUGAUUAGUACCUGAGGGAGAUUCUCAGAAUCACAAAGCAUGGGCUGGAAGGGACCGCUGGAGAUCAUCUACAAGCCAGCACAAUGCAUCUAACCCAAUACAGACUAAAAGAUUCCACAGAAACAAGGAACUAUAGGGUACUGGAGCAGAAAUGCUAAGUCACAGCUUGAACCAGUGAUUGAGCACCUGGUGGGAAGGCAGGGCCAACCCAGGGGAGCUCAGGUGCAUGCAAUGAGGAUCUGCCCGAUCCUGGCUCCACCCCUUCCCAGACCUCAUUUAAGGACUGGCAGUAGGGGCAAGAGCAUCUCACUGGAGAUCCCUGCCUAGUAGAGGCCUUCUAAAGGUAAGCAGUUUUUCUUCCUUUGUUUCUGCAUCCAUGGUUGCUGCAUUUGGGCUUGCUCUCAUUUGCUGCAGCCUAGGAUUGUGCUGCUCUGCUAUUAUUGCUAUGCUUUCCAUUACAUUGCAGAUACAAAAGGUUAAACUCCAUCUUCCUAGUCUUGUCCCCCUUCUUCUGUACGGGAGAGCCAUCCUGUGAAAGAAGUAAGACUGCAGCAGUGAAAGUUUAGGGUAUUUUCUACAUCUCUGGAGCUGACUUCUGCGGGCAGAUGAAGGACGUGCAGACAGCGAGAGUGUCUGUAGCUCACGGUUUUGAAAUGGCAAGGCAUGCUGUUCAAGGAUAUCUUUACCAAUUUUAACUAACCAGCGUGGCCUGCUCAGGCCAGUAUUAUGGACAGCAACAAACAAGAGGACACUUUGUCUCAUCAGUCUCAUGGAUAUAACUUUCUGCUUACAGCUGUAUUUGGCUAAGACCUGUACGUGGUUAUGGACUUUGACUCAGUGGCUGGGCUUGGAUGGGAGCCUUCUGGCUUACAAUCCUAUGCUCCAACCAUCUAAUCUCUCAGCCCAAAGGAAACUAUGGUGUCCCUGUGGACUCUUAGUAAGACACCACAGCUUUGUUGAGUGCUUAGCUUUUGAUGGGGGUAUUUGAAGGCUUCACAGAUGGCAUUCAGUGACUCUGUUCCCCCUUUCUACCUGGAGGCUGCCAAAGGAUGGCAGCAAAGAGACAGAUGUUAGAGGGAUGUCAGGGUGUGAAUAAAGGGGCACGUGCAACAGGAAAAGCGCUGCAAUAGCUGUUGCUGUGAAGGAAAAGCAUUCCAUACUGGAAAGCCAGCUAUAUGGAAUGCAGUCUUUUCUGCAGUUUGGUGCUGAUAAAAAUGCUGCACUGGCAUUUCUGCAAUAUGAUACUCCAAAGCAAGAAUAUGGUUUGUUAUUACAUCUGUGGCCAGCAGGACUUCGUGGUGGUGGAGGAGACAUCCUCAGCUAUGGCUGAAUGUUUAGUUUCCAUGCCCCUUCUGUCCUAGGAUGGCAGUCAGCAAUAAUUACUUCAGUGGUUUCUACCCUACAAUUCUUAGCCUCUAAGGACUAUACACGGAUCCAGAAACUCGUUCCAUGCAAGCCCUUUCUAACAGGAUGAUGACUUCUAGUUUCUGCUGGACUUGAUCUAGAUUCGCAUGGGAAAGCUAGAGAAGAAAUGACAGUUUGCUGGAGCAGCCUGUGCCAGGCCAGAUUUCUGUAACGAGCCAUCUGCAUUUGGAAACAACCCUGAGCUGACAGAGAAAGAAACAUAAUAAUCAAUCUGAGGCAUAUGAUAAUAGAUGCCCCAGGGGAACAGAAGAUCGAGCAUGCUGCCCUUUGGCCAUUGGCACUAAUUUGCCAAUUCAGUAGAGAUGACAAAAGACGAAGUGGGGAGUCCACGCCCAUCUCAGGUAAAAGAAUUGCCUGUUUCAAGAAAACUGGGAAACACUGAUAGGACAAAAUAAAUGGGAGAAGAACAAGACUCCUAUGUCAUCUUGUGGACUUCAGACACAGCGACAGAUCAAACGUAGUUAUGGUGAGAAAACAUUGAUAUUCUGCCUUCUCCUUGAGCAUAAAGCAGACAACAAACACCUCUCUUUAACCUGUAAAUGCUAGUAGGGCUUUGUAUGGAUGCUCUAGGUCUGUUGGAAUUUUCUUCCUUCUAAAACGAGUCUCAGAGUCACUGUAGACUAAGAAAAAGAGCAGAUUAAUCGAAUCGGCCUCCCGAACCACCCAGAUUGUACUUCACAAAGGAUUCUGUGUGUUCUUAGCAAGGUCAAUUGACUAAGUAGUCAUCUGUGAGUGUGGAUUCUUGUCUCUUUCUAACCUUCUCUCAAAUUAGGAGAUAUCUGGGCUUGGUGCUCUAUUCUGCCAGUUGCUCUGGCUUCAAAUUUUGAAUUUUUUUAAAAAAUUACACAGUUGAGUCUAAUGUUCAAUUUCAGUGGUUUCCAGGGGAUUAUUUGUAGUGCCUAUUCUGCUAUACAGAGAAAUCUUUCUUUAAAAACACGAUCCAUCUUUCUAGUAGUACUUCAUUUAGAAAUUCAGAGUGGGCAGAUAGCCCUGAGAUAUGGAUAUCCUCUUCUUUUGCCUUCUAUCUGAAAAAGGGGGAAAAAAAAUCUAGUAUUUUUUUCAGUAUUGCUGAUGUCCCAGACACGUCUGAGUAACUGUCAUGUACAAUCAGUAUCUAUCCAUGGGAAUCUCAUAGAACCAGGGUGGUUUUAAUGUUCACCAGAAUAUUUCUGUGAGAGUUCCUAGGAUGCCAGGGAAAGCACUGACUGACCACAGAAAACAGAUAUGAGACAAGUGCAUGAUGACUUUUUUUUUUUAAGGAAAAAAGUAUUAAGGAUCCAACUGAGAACUACACUGACACAACUAUAUUUACUUUUGGUCACUGUUAAGUCUGUGUUUUCCAGCCUGUUAACUCCACGAGAAUAAGACAUAGCUGCAGUAUGGAGCUGAGUCAGUUUGGAUUCAGCAUUUAAAGAAAGAAUGGAAGAGAAGCAACCAGGUGUCAAAAGAUGUAAGUAGGUUAGAUCACAAUGAGGAGAUAGCCUUCCCAUCUGCUGGGAACUCCUUUGCAAGGUAAGACUGUUAGAUAUACAAGUCCCUGGCUGGGACUGGUGAAGAGGAUGUAAGCAUGGAAACUAACAGAGCUCUACUAUGAUCAAGUAGGGGAUGAGGGCAGCAUUCCCUAUAAAAAGGAUCCUGAGGUCCCUGCUGAGGUGCCAAGGUUGAAUAUUUUGCCAGAGGUGGAAACUGAAUUGAUUUGUGCCCCUCAGGCUAGCUCCAGGAACCUCACUCCUGCCUGAGAGCAUUAGUCCACAUGUGGAGAGAGGCUUUUCAGCUGGAGACGAGUUUAUGGCUUUUGACUUUUUCAUGUUCAUGUGUUUUUAUAAAGCCACAAUCGUUUUGUUUUUUUUUAUUGGGCUUUUAUAGAAAGGUCUCUGAAGUCUAGCAAAAUCUCAGCUUAACAGUAGAGAUUGUGCUAGAGAGACAUAUAAGAAGUAAGAGAAAAUAAGAAGGCCAUGGGAGAGAUGGGUAAAUACAGAAGUGCAAGCAGAGUUCUGUCAAAGCAAGUUUCUGACUUACACAUUUAACUUUAUCCGUCAGCCUAGGGGCAAGUCUACAGCAUGAUUAACCUCCUAGAUCUCACUUGUUCCAGGUCCAAGCAUUAUCUGGCCAGAGUGCAUUGCCAAUCCACCAUGCCAGCCAUCCCACCAGAGGCAUCUUGAUGUCAGCAUUGAUGUGACCCAGAAAUGAGGGGAGAGUGACGGGAAUUCACUGUGCUGGGGAAUUCAGUGCUGCAGAUAGUGAAACACCUUCCAAACCAGAAGAGGAAAUGUUGUGUGAAAUGUUCUGGUCAGCCAAGGAAGUGGACCAUGCAGCAUGGGAUGGCAGCCCCUUCGUGAUCCCCGAGGCUUUGGUGCUGGGAUCAGCACAAGGAAGGACGCCAGAGGAAAAAGUCAGGUUCAGGUUGGAAACGUAUUGCUCAGAGGAAGCAGAUGGAAGAAGAGGUGUCUCUGACUUUGAAUCAGCUUCUGUAUGAUCAUGGCUUAAUGAUCAUAAAUCCUCUGGGGCCUGCAACCUAACAAGGGAAUAAAGGAGGAAGCGCCGUCUCUCUCAGAUCAAAGUAAAGAGAAAAGCUGAGAUGUAAAGGAGACGAAAUGAGCUACAGGCGGAACAAUAUGGAAACCCACUGCUGGGAAACCGUUUUUCCGAGCCAGAGAGGAGGCAGGGAAUUGUUCUGUGCAACCAUUCAGGAGCCUCCGCUCCCACGCAUUCUCCCGCUUGCUGACACCCUGCCAGGACCGCAAAGGAGGAAUUGAUUUACAUGCACCCAUUGCUCUUUGCUCAAACUGACGGGAAAGCUGACGUGGAGAAGUUAACCAGGAACAAGUGUUUCCCACCUGUGUGCAGCUGAACAUGGUGCACUUUGGUUUCAGUUCUGACGAAGUGCCGGUGAGCCUGACAGUGCAUCUGUUUUUCUAACUCUCUUGGUUAGUCCGAGGAGAGAUAUUCUCUCUCUUUGAAAAC
rnacentral:lncRNA from 1 species